rnacentral:rRNA from 1 species
UACGGAGGGAGCUAGCGUUGUUCGGAAUUACUGGGCGUAAAGCGCACGUAGGCGGUUAUUCAAGUCAGAGGUGAAAGCCCGGGGCUCAACCCCGGAACUGCCUUUGAAACUAGAUGACUAGAAUCUUGGAGAGGUCAGUGGAAUUCCGAGUGUAGAGGUGAAAUUCGUAGAUAUUCGGAAGAACACCAGUGGCGAAGGCGACUGACUGGACAAGUAUUGACGCUGAGGUGACGAAAGGCGUGGGGAGCAAACAGG